GUCGCACGAGAACCCGGGGGCAACUCCGGCAGUAAAGUGGCGAAAGGGUGAGUAAUACAUCGAUAACGUACCUAGGGGACGGGGAUAACGCCGCGAAAGCGGCGCUAUACCCGAUGACAAGGCUCGGACGCAUGUCCGGGCCUUUAAAGGUCCGCCGCCCCUGGCGCGGUCGAUGGCCUAUCAGCUAGUUGGCGGGGUAACGGCCCACCAAGGCGAUGACGGGUAGCCGGCCUGAGAGGGUGUCCGGCCACAUUGGGACUGAGACACAGCCCAGACUCCUACGGGAGGCAGCAGUGGGGAAUAUUGCGCAAUGGGCGAAAGCCUGACGCAGCGACGCCGCGUGAGGGAAGAAGGCCUUCGGGUUGUAAACCUCUGUCGCCCGGGACGAAAAAUGACGUUACCGGGAAAGGAAGCACCGGCUAACUCCGUGCCAGCAGCCGCGGUAAUACGGAGAGUGCAAGCGUUGUUCGGAUUCACUGGGCGUAAAGGGUCCGUAGGCGGUCGGGUAACUCCGUUGUGGAAUCCCCGCUUUGAUGGCGGGAAUUGCUUCGGAUAGUACCCGGCUUGAGGGUAAUAGGGGUGGGUGGAACUCCCGGUGGAGCGGUGAAAUGCGUAGAGAUCGGGAGGAACGCCGGAGGCGAAAGCGACCCAC
rnacentral:rRNA from 1 species